CCGUACCCAUAUCCGCAGCAGGUCUCCAAGGUGAACAGCCUCUGGCGUGUUGGAACAAGGCGGCGUAAGGGAAGUCGGCAAGUCAGAUCCGUAACUUCGGGAUAAGGAUUGGCUCU
rnacentral:rRNA from 1 species